rnacentral:misc_RNA from 1 species
UAUGAUUUCUCGCAUAGCUAUUUUUUAACAACCAUAAGUUUAUGCCAUCAAAUUCGAAUCUGUUGAUGAAAAGUGUAUCGUUGAGGCCUCAUUUCACUUCAAACAUGAUAGCGUGGAGAUAAUUAAGUGUGGGAUCCAUCCUAUAUAUAGUAGAAAGAGGAGCAGAAAUGAAGAGCAUCAGGAUGACGAGGAACACCAACCAGCUCUUCAAAGAUUGGAAGAAGAAA